ACACGGACCAAGGAGUGCAACAUGUGCGCGAGCCGCUUGGCAAGUAAACCAGAAGGCGCAAUGAAAGUGAAGGCACGGCCGCCGUGCUGAGGUGAGAGCUGCCCCCGGGCGGCACAUCAUCGACCGAUCCUAUCCGCUCCCUCGUGGUGCGGCGGGAUUCGAGUAAGAGUGCAUCUGUUGCGACCCGAAAGAUGGUGAACUAUGCCUGAAUAGGGUGAAGCCAGAGGAAACUCUGGUGGAGGCCCGUAGCGAUUCUGACGUGCAAAUCGAUCGUCAAAUUUGGGUAUAGGGGCGAAAGACUAAUCGAACCAUCUAGUAGCUGGUUCCCUCCGAAGUUUCCCUCAGGAUAGCUGUAGCCCGAAGCAGUUUUAUCAGGUAAAGCGAAUGAUUAGAGGUAUCGGGGAAGAAACUUCCUCGACCUAUUCUCAAACUUUAAAUAGGUAAGAAGUCCGACUUGCUCAAUUUGAAGCCGGACACAGAAUGCUGGGUUACUAGUGGGCCAUUUUUGGUAAGCAGAACUGGCGAUGCGGGAUGAACCGAACGCCGAGUUAAGGUGCCAAAGUCGACGCUCAUCAGAUCCCACAAAAGGUGUUGGUUGAUAUAGACAGCAGGACGGUGGCCAUGGAAGUCGGAAUCCGCUAAGGAGUGUGUAACAACU
rnacentral:rRNA from 1 species